rnacentral:rRNA from 1 species
UACGGAGGAUCCGAGCGUUAUCCGGAUUUAUUGGGUUUAAAGGGUGCGCAGGCGGGAUGUUAAGUCGGCGGUGAAAUUUUGCAGCUCAACUGUAAAAGUGCCUUCGAAACUGGUUUCCUUGAGUGUGGAUGAAGUAGGCGGAAUUUGUGGUGUAGCGGUGAAAUGCAUAGAUAUCACGAGGAACUCCGAUUGCGCAGGCAGCUUACUAAACCAUAACUGACGCUCAGGCACGAAGGCGUGGGGAUCAAACAGGAUUAGAUACCCCUGUA